rnacentral:misc_RNA from 1 species
UAAGGUGUGGUUGAAAGGCUACUGGACGGGUUUCGGGUUUUCAAUACGACAAGAUUAAUAUUAUUGGUGUGGGAAGACAAACAUGGAUAAGAGUCGCAUGAUGAACAUGGGUUUUCACUAUGACUGGAGAAAACCGUGCUCAUUUUUUAUGGAGAGGGUUAUUCUUGGGAGGGUGGGCUGUCAUAGAACAGACAUGGAGUCUUUUUGAAUGCGUCUAUUGUCAUAGUAAGCUUUAGUAAUCUGUCCCUGCAUUACCUUUUCCACAGUUUGUCGAUUUUGGCACUCCCAAGAAUAACCCUCUCCAUAAAAAA